UUCAAUGAAUCUUCCUUUUUCUCAUUCAUAUAAAAACACUUGUAUCUAACUAUAUGUAUGUAUUUGUGCAUGUGUGUGAGUGUGUGUGUGUGUCUGUGUGUGUGUUUGUGUGUGUGUACAUGGAUAUAGCAUGUAUAUAUACAUUGGUAUAUGCAUUCAGGUACUGAUGCAUCUUUUUUCUCUCUUUCCAGGAUAUUUUGUUAUUGAUUCAAAAUUGUAUUGUGAAACUCAUGCACGGCGUCAUGCUCAAGCACCAGGCCCUGACAUGGUUGCUGUACCUGUAUAUAGGUAAACACUGAAGAAAGUCCUAUAUUCUUUUCUUCUGAAAAGAAGAAUACCUGUUGAUUGCUUCUGUUUGUAGAAUACUCAACCUCAGCCUACCCCUGACAUGUUUGUAAAGAAAUAAACCAGUUAUGAUCCACUAUUCCGUUAAUACACACAUCCUUUGUGUGUGUGUAUCCACCAGAGCAACUGACACAAACUUUGGCUUAUAUCUCCUCUUAAUAACUGUUGUUUUUUUUUCUUCCUUUUUAAUUACCAAGGAUUUGCAAUUUACAGAUUUGUUCUCAUUUGAACUCCUUCCACUAUUUCUGGAAAGAAUUUUUUUUUUUUUUAUGGACUGUUUUUGGAUCAAAAUUACAUUAUUUAGGGAUUUUUGUUGUUGUUGUUGUUGUUGGGGUGGUUGGUGGGGAUGUUUUCAGAUAGCUAAAUGUCUGGUGUGUGUUUGUGUAUGCAUAUGCGAAGAUGUGAAUGAAGUAUGUAUGUUAGUCUGUUUCUGAAUGUGUAUGUGUGCACAAGUGUGUGUAUAAAUUCUUUGUCUUAUAACUUCCUCGAAAAGGUGUGGUUCAUUAAACUAAGGACAUGCCUUUCUUAUCUGUUUUGUUAUAUACAUACACAAGCACACCCUAUCCAGACAUUCCCCUCCAGAUCCUAACAUUAAAAGCUCUUUUUCUUCUCCAGAGUUAUUUGAUCUAUGCAUAGAUAUAUAUAUUUUAUAUACAUAUAUAUAUUUAUAUAUAUAACUGCUUAUAUGUGUCAAUGUGUAUAGCAUGUAUGUGAGCAUAUAUAUAUAUAUAUAUAUAUAUAUAUAUAUGUGUAUAUGUAUAUGGACACACAUACAUACAAAUAUCUACAUGCUUUUACUACUUAUUAAUUAUGCAUGGAUAAGACAAAUCACAAAGAUCUGCACUAAAAUGACAUCUUUUUUAUUAUGAGUAAUGCCUUUUUGGAGCAAAUUUGGAAUGUAUUUGGUGGAGAUUAGGGCUAAUGAGUACAUAUGAUAUAUAUAUAUAUAUAUAUAUAUAUAUAUAUAUAUAUAUAUUAUAAACAGUGUCUGUUAUGGGUGAAGUGACAUUUUUUUUUUCUCUUGCUCAUUUUCCUUAUAAUUCACCUUUAUCUGAAGGUGUUACAGUGUGCUGGAUCUUACCCCAGUUUUCAAAGCUGUUAGCAUGUGAGAGACAUUUCACCUCCAAAUUAUUUUUCUUGCCAUGAGAGUCUACCAUGAAGUUUUACGAAAUAGUUGCCAACAUUAUGAUGUUCUUGCUAAGUACAACUGGAAAAGGUAACUCCUUAAUUUACCUGUUUGAAACUGAGUAAACUAAGCCGUUUCAAGUUAAGUGUCUUUUGCCUUGGAUGUAUUGCAAUGCAGUGAUGUAUCAAUAUCAAUGAAGUACUGGACACAUCAAGGUUUCAGUCAGUAGAGGUAGACUGGUGCUCUGUUAUCAUGGCUAGCUGCACAUCCUGUAUACAAGUUCAAAAUCUGAAUGCAAGUGAUCGCACCAGAUUAGUAGCAAUUUCAGUCAUUUACAUCAUCCACUACUCAACAGUAUCUGAUGUGAUGUGUGACUGUUCAGUCCUCUCUUAUUUGACUAUAUGACUCACUCCUGUCUGUCUUUCUGCUUGUUGUUUGCUACUAUGUGUAGCUGUUAAGCUUCAUUGGUUAAUUUUUUGAUGCUGUCAUUACACAGUUUGAAAGAUCCUACUUUUGUUUGUAAAAAUCUUAUAAUUGGAGAGAAAACAGUCUAGGUUCAAACUGAAGAAGGGUUUUGAUACACAUUUGUAAGACGUAGCAUUUGCUUCCAUAGAAUAAAUGGAAUAAUUAUACUAAAUCAUCAAAUAGAAUAAAACAUUUGCCAAUGAAAAAAUUAUUUGGGCACAUAAAUGAGACUUCUAAUAUUUCUUGCUCAGAAUAUCUUCUUCAUAUUCCAAAUUGAAAGAAUUCAUGUUUUAACUCUCUGAAGUUUAACUUGCUGGCUGGCUGGUUACAGCUGUUAAAGGAAUGUCUGGAGAGUAACAGACAUUGAUGUGAAGAAUGUAGCAGAAGCAAGUCAAAGGACUCUUCUGUUUUUUUUGGCAACAUAUCAGAACAGAGAUGAUGAUGACGACGACGACGAUGAUGAUGAUGAUAAUCAUGAUGAUAAUAAUAAUAACAACAAUAACAACAAAAACAACAGACAAGAAUUCUCUCAACAGAAGUUUAUUUGUCUCUCAGUUGCUUAACACAACACAUAGAAGGCCUGGAAACUGGAUCUAUGGAUUAUUGUUGUUUGUGAACAGAUUAAAGUUUAUUUUUAAUUGUUUCCAAUAUGCUGCAAAUUACAGCUUCAGUUGACAGGUUUUUCUUUCUACCAGAAAUCAGCAAAGCUUCCUUAAUUCUCACAUUUUUAUAGAUAUUUUAAAAAUUUUAUUUUAUCCUAGUCACUUAAUUAUUUUGCCCCUCUUUGCAAUCAUUAAAUUAUUAUAGAAUGUUUUUUGUUUGUUUUUAUUUUCGUUUUGCUUUGCUUUUUCUUUUGUAAUCAAUAUUGGGGUACACUUCUCUACAAAUAAAGUCUUGCAUUGGAUGAAAUUGAAGAUCUUAAUUAUCCUCUAAAUAAAUAAACAACGAAGGCCAGUGGCAAAAUUCUUUCAAACACACAUAUGGACACAUACAUACAAACAUACAUACUUAAAUACACACACACAUGUAUACACAAAUACAUACCCUGCUCAUUUAUGAUUAUUGAACAGUGCAUUUAGCUUCAGAAAUCAGUAUUUUUUCUUUAAUUUUCUUUUUCCAUCAGAGAUAUUCUGAAAUUCUGUAUUUUUUAAGGAAAUGAACACAUGUGGUUUUGAAAAGUGAAAUAAAAUAUUCUGCAUAAUGUU